UACGUAGGGUGCGAGCGUUGUCCGGAAUUAUUGGGCGUAAAGGGCUCGUAGGCGGUCUGUCACGUCGGGAGUGAAAACUCGGGGCUUAACUCCGAGCCUGCUUCUGAUACGGGCAGACUAGAGGUAUGCAGGGGAGAAUGGAAUUCCUGGUGUAGCGGUGAAAUGCGCAGAUAUCAGGAGGAACACCAAUGGCGAAGGCAGCACUCUGGGACGUGACUGACGCUGAGACGCGAAAGCGUGGGGAGCAAACAGG
rnacentral:rRNA from 1 species